rnacentral:lncRNA from 1 species
UAUUUUUGAAUAUUUGAGCACGGAUUGUUAAAAUACUAACAUACAAUUUCAGCUGUUUAUUACACUACCGUCCCUAGAACAAAUGAUAAAGGACUUGAUGGUUGGUACCCGAGACCCAAAUUCGAAUCCUAGUUGAUUCACAUUCUAGCUAAGUCUUAGUUUGGUAUUGAGAUUUAUCUAACGCUAUAAAAUGGAGUUGAGGAGGGGUAUGCUUCUGCACUCUCCAAUGGGACCGCAGAAAAUAUAUCGUAACCGACUCAUCGCGAUAUGCGGAACGCAAUAUUACAUACGCAAUAUUACGUACGGAAACAAACAUGUAUUUUUCCAAAGUACUUUUUUACCGCAUGUAAAGUAAUUUUUCCGCAUUCCCAGCAUUUCCAAACGUAGCCUAAAUUUAUUUCUAAAUGAAAUAAACGAAGCAGGUAACGUGCUACCUAUCUCUCAAAAAAAAAAAAAAAAAACUAUUUAUUACACUACCAAAUAAGAAAAAUUCGGCGGAAUCUUAGAAAUUCUGACUCAAAGCAAAUUUUAAAUUAGUCCGAUUAUAUGAGUUGAGUCGAAUUGAUUUGUGCAGCAAGUCACGUCCAAUCAGUUGAUUUGAUCGAUCCGAGUCCUAAAAUACUAUUAAAGGUAAAUUGCACAUUCAGUCCUCAAACUAUGAGGAGGCUACGAUUUAGUCCUAAAAAUUUUAAUUCAUUAUAAUUUGUCGCUUGAGCCUUCAGAAUUUUUGCAAUCAAAUUUUACAAUCCAAUUUAAAAUUAUUGGCACAUCAUUUUUUUUUAGAGAGAUAGGUAGCACGCUAUCGCUUUGUUUAUUUCAUUUAGAAAUAAACGUAGCUGAAAAUGUGAAUUAACUAGAAUUCGAACUUGAAACUUCGGGUACCAACUAUCAAACCCUUUGCCACUUACUCUAAACACAUCAUCAAUCAGCAUACUACUAUAUUUUUUUUUCUAUAUUAGUAAUAUAUUAAUACUUAGUCAACUAUACUGAGUUAUAAGAUCUAGUUGUAAUAAUUCUGAAAAUUAAAAUCAGAAAUUAUUAUAGUAAAUUAAAGUCUAAAUAUGAAACCUCGAAUAUCAUCCAUUAAAUUUUUUUGUCACUUGCGAUAAGGACACAGUCGGUCACUUGCGAUAAGGACGGCCAGUAAUUGAUUGGAUAUGGUUGAUGUAGCGUAGGUGUGAUAUAGCAAGACAUUCUCCUAUU